AGUGAACGCUGGCGGUAGGCCUAACACAUGCAAGUCGAACGGCAGCACAGUAAGAGCUUGCUCUUACGGGUGGCGAGUGGCGGACGGGUGAGGAAUACAUCGGAAUCUACUUUUUCGUGGGGGAUAACGUAGGGAAACGUACGCUAAUACCGCAUACGACCUACGGGUGAAAGCAGGGGAUCUUCGGACCUUGCGCGAUUGAAUGAGCCGAUGUCGGAUUAGCUAGUUGGCGGGGUAAAGGCCCACCAAGGCGACGAUCCGUAGCUGGUCUGAGAGGAUGAUCAGCCACACUGGAACUGAGACACGGUCCAGACUCCUACGGGAGGCAGCAGUGGGGAAUAUUGGACAAUGGGCGCAAGCCUGAUCCAGCCAUACCGCGUGGGUGAAGAAGGCCUUCGGGUUGUAAAGCCCUUUUGUUGGGAAAGAAAAGCAGCAGGUUAAUACCCCGCUGUUCUGGCGGUACCCAAAGAAUAAGCACCGGCUAACUUCGUG
rnacentral:rRNA from 1 species